GACGAACGCUGGCGGCGUGCUUAACACAUGCAAGUCGAACGGAAAGGCCCUGCUUUUGUGGGGUGCUCGAGUGGCGAACGGGUGAGUAACACGUGAGUAACCUGCCCUUGACUUUGGGAUAACUUCAGGAAACUGGGGCUAAUACCGGAUAGGAGCUCCUGCUGCAUGGUGGGGGUUGGAAAGUUUCGGCGGUUGGGGAUGGACUCGCGGCUUAUCAGCUUGUUGGUGGGGUAGUGGCUUACCAAGGCUUUGACGGGUAGCCGGCCUGAGAGGGUGACCGGCCACAUUGGGACUGAGAUACGGCCCAGACUCCUACGGGAGGCAGCAGUGGGGAAUAUUGCACAAUGGGCGGAAGCCUGAUGCAGCAACGCCGCGUGCGGGAUGACGGCCUUCGGGUUGUAAACCGCUUUCGCCUGUGACGAAGCGUGAGUGACGGUAAUGGGUAAAGAAGCACCGGCUAACUACGUGCCAGCAGCCGCGGUGAUACGUAGGGUGCGAGCGUUGUCCGGAUUUAUUGGGCGUAAAGGGCUCGUAGGUGGUUGAUCGCGUCGGAAGUGUAAUCUUGGGGCUUAACCCUGAGCGUGCUUUCGAUACGGGUUGACUUGAGGAAGGUAGGGGAGAAUGGAAUUCCUGGUGGAGCGGUGGAAUGCGCAGAUAUCAGGAGGAACACCAGUGGCGAAGGCGGUUCUCUGGGCCUUUCCUGACGCUGAGGAGCGAAAGCGUGGGGAGCGAACAGGCUUAGAUACCCUGGUAGUCCACGCUGUAAACGGUGGGUACUAGGUGUGGGGUCCAUUCCACGGGUUCCGUGCCGUAGCUAACGCUUUAAGUACCCCGCCUGGGGAGUACGGCCGCAAGGCUAAAACUCAAAGGAAUUGACGGGGCCCCGCACAAGCGGCGGAGCAUGCGGAUUAAUUCGAUGCAACGCGUAGAACCUUACCUGGGUUUGACAUGGAUCGGGAGUGCUCAGAGAUGGGUGUGCCUCUUUUGGGGUCGGUUCACAGGUGGUGCAUGCCUGUCGUCAGCUCGUGUCGUGAGAUGUUGGGUUAAGUCCCGCAACGAGCGCAACCCUUGUUCACUGUUGCCAGCACGUUAUGGUGGGGACUCAGUGGAGACCGCCGGGGCCAACUCGGAGGAAGGUGGGGAUGACGUCAAGUCAUCAUGCCCCUUAUGUCCAGGGCUUCACGCAUGCUACAAUGGCUGGUACAGAGAGUGGCGAGCCUGUGAGGGUGAGCGAAUCUCGGAAAGCCGGUCUCAGUUCGGAUUGGGGUCUGCAACUCGACCUCAUGAAGUCGGAGUCGCUAGUAAUCGCAGAUCAGCAACGCUGCGGUGAAUACGUUCCCGGGGCC
rnacentral:rRNA from 1 species